AGAAUUCUUCGGGGCAGGGUGAGAUUCCCUACCGGCGGUAUAGUCCGCGACCCGCGCAAGCGGCUGAUUCGGUGAAAUUCCGAAACCGACAGUAUAGUCUGGAUGAGAGAAGAACGCG
rfam:Firmicutes bacterium CAG:227 genomic scaffold, scf264